rnacentral:tRNA from 1 species
GAAGAUUUAGUUAAUUUAAUAACAUUAGAUUGUCAAACUAAAAUUAUCAAUUAAUUGAUAUUCUUCU